rfam:Hepatitis C virus isolate EBW9, complete genome
CCAAUCCAAGCUGCUCGCCGGUUCGACUUGUCUAACUGGUUCGUAGCUGGUUACAGCGGGGGAGACAUAUAUCACAGCGUGUCUCAUGCCCGGCCCCGCUGGUUGAUGUUUUGCCUACUCCUACUUUCCGUAGGGGUAAGCAUCUACCUGCUCCCCAAUCGAUGAUUGGGGAGCUAA